rnacentral:rRNA from 1 species
CACGUAGGGGGCGAGCGUUGUCCGGAUUUAUUGGGCGUAAAGAGCUCGUAGGCGGUUCGAUAAGUCGGGUGUGAAAACUCUGGGCUGAACUCAGAGACGCCACCCGAUACUGUUGUGACUUGAGUCCGGUAGGGGAGUAUGGAAUUCCCGGUGUAGCGGUGAAAUGCGCAGAUAUCGGGAGGAACACCAGUGGCGAAGGCGGUACUCUGGGCCGGAACUGACGCUGAGGAGCGAAAGCGUGGGUAGCGAACAGG